ACACAACUUUCAAUGUUCCAUCUGAAUGCAACUCUGUACCACCUUCGUGAACUACACAGUUUAUAUUGUUUAUAAGGUCAAGGCAAGCAAAUAUAACAUUAAAUUUACCAUCACUAUCCACAGCCCAUUAUUGAUAGAAUGGUUGAUUGCUACGCUGAUAUCUGUUAGUCAUACUAUAUGAACCAAACAAAAAUAAUCCAGAUAUUCUCCUAGUUCAUGUAAAGUAGUUGGUAGAGGUGGCACAUACUGCCUACAAACUUGAUGCAUUUAUGAUUCUACAGUGGGCCAUGUACACAAUAUAGCUGCAUUUGGAUUUCUACAAAUACAUAAUUAUUAAAUUAUAUUUCAGAUUAACAAAGCUAGUUUAUAUGCACUAUAAUGUAUCUAACUAUAUUUUAAAAAUUGUUGAAAAUAGUAUUAAACUAAAAAUAUACAC